AUGUGUUCUUUGUCAUUACAGGAAUGUAACCCCCCAUGACAGAGAUCCACGUGAAGUGGUGAAAAUGUAGCUGGGGAAGAAAACCUACUCAGAAAUGGCAUGCUUACAGGUGAGGUUGCCACUAUAACAAUAAAGCAUCUUUAUCCGCUCUGACCCCAUAUUAGCCUGUUUGUCAGAGCAUGUGUGUGUGUGUGUGUUUUAAUAGCAACAGAAAGUCUAGACUCUAAUCUACUAAAAGCUACCUUUGUCUCCAUAGUAUUGAUUCUAAGGCUGAUGGCAAGACUCCUCAAUUCCUUGGUCUGGACCACAACGUUUGGAAUUAGACAAUCCAGCAAACUAGAAAGUCAAAAUGAAAAUUAGUUACUUUUUCUUCUGCCUGAAGUCUGUUUAGCUUUGGAGAUUUAGUCUGAGUGCCCCUUUAACUGGGCAAAGAGGGAAUGAGAUUUCUCAGAAGAAUCUGUGCCAUUCUAAUCAAGUAUUUUGUUUUGCAGUGACGACAUAAGUGCCCCUAAAGUCAACGGGGAAUCUCAUCACCAAGCCCCGAACAGGAACCCGAGGGACGAUGAUCCAGGAGGGGCGAAUAUCAACGAAAGAAAAGAUACUGUCGGGAAAAUGACCAGUGGAUGGGCCGUCGGUGAUCACAGUGCUGAAGACCAUGAGACUGAAGGACGACCGCUGCUGCCGAAUCAGCGAGCUGCCAACCAACAGUUUGACGUGACGGGUGAAGCUACAGCUUUGGUGAACAAGCCUGGCUUUGACCCAGACCAAGCCAGCGGUUGCUCUGUUGCACCAGAAACUGACGUGGAGUCUAAAUACAGCAUGAAAAACUAAUAGAAGCAUACAUUAAUAAUAAUAAUAAUAAAAUAAUAAUAAUAUGUUAUUAUAUUAUAUUAUAUUAUAUUAUAUUAUAUUAUAUUAUAUUAUAUUAUAUUAUAUUAUAUUAUAUAGUACUGGCAUCUUCUUUGUUGUCAAGUCCAGCAUUUUGUUGAAAUUAUUAUUUUCAACCCGCAAUUAUUUUUUCUCUUUCCAAGGACAAAAAGAUUUCGAUAUUUUUACAGUCCCAAUAUGCAAACUUUCAUAGAAUUACAAAGUCCUUAAAACAGUCAGUUUGCACACAUUUUUCUUAACAGAAUAAAAUGAGACAGUUCCAGGAGAGACUAGUGUUACCUUUAGCCUAAUGAUAAAUCCAUAUAAAUAUAUACAUAUGAACAGUCACUGCAACAGAUCGGAUAACAUAUUGAUUCGGGUCAUUGGAUUUAGAUGUACACUAGUUAUUACGUUUUGCCAAAUAAUUAUAUUACCUGGCAGUAAUCCCAGUGUAGCUUGAUGAACAAAAUGGAAGACACUGGUCUCUUUUGAAAAUACAUAAUGUAUAAUGGGACGUUUGUUACUGAUGAUAUGAAAUGCUUGGCUUGACCAAUGGAUGGGUGGACCAAAGAUGUCAGUACUGCUAUACAGCUAUGUAAGAGAUACAUAUAUAAGAAUUAUGAUAUAAUGUAAAGUAUAUAAAUAUCCCAAAUAUAAAAUAUAAAUAUCUCUCAUAUAACUAUAUGAUUUUGAGGUAUGUUUGUGUUUGCUAUUCUAUUUCUAAGUUUAUUAUUGUUCUGAUCAAUUAUGUAAGCAAGUAAUCAUCAAGUAAUCAAGUAUGACGGUGAUUGAAAUCUUUGUAAAUGUUGUGAUUGUUGUUACUUUUAAAUAUAUAAUCAGCUGAAUUAUAGUACUCAUUUUUUGGUAACAUUAUUUUCUGUCUUAGUUUGCAUUUCUCUCCAUGUGCAAAUUCAGAAAUGUUACAGUGGUUAUGGUAUGUAGGUUUUUUUUUCCUAGCUUAUUUAAUCAUUAGCAUUUUAAUUGCUUGAUUUGAAUCAGUGUGUUAAAAAAAAAUGUUUUCUUGUAAUCAAAUCUGAAAUAAACUGUCCCCAUUUGGA